rnacentral:rRNA from 1 species
GACGAACGCUGGCGGCGUGCUUAACACAUGCAAGUCGUACGGUAAGGCCCUUUCGGGGGUACACGAGUGGCGAACGGGUGAGUAACACGUGAGUAACCUGCCCACAACUUUGGGAUAACGCUAGGAAACUGGUGCUAAUACUGGAUAUGUGCUCCUGCUGCAUGGUGGGGGUUGGAAAGCUCCGGCGGUUGUGGAUGGACUCGCGGCCUAUCAGCUUGUUGGUGGGGCAGUGGCCUACCAAGGCGGCGACGGGUAGCCGGCCUGAGAGGGUGACCGGCCACAUUGGGACUGAGAUACGGCCCAGACUCCUACGGGAGGCAGCAGUGGGGAAUAUUGCACAAUGGGCGCAAGCCUGAUGCAGCAACGCCGCGUGCGGGAUGACGGCCUUCGGGUUGUAAACCGCUUUCAGCAGGGACGAAGCUUUUUGUGACGGUACCUGCAGAAGAAGCACCGGCUAACUACGUG